GCAUACGGUGGAUGCCUUGGCAGUCAGAGGCGAUGAAAGACGUGGAAGCCUGCGAUAAGGUUCGGGGAGCUGGCAAACAAGCUGUGAUCCGGGCAUUUCUGAAUGGGGAAACCCACCGACUUUCGGGUCGGUAUCUUGCACUGAAUACAUAGGUGUAAGAGGCGAACCGGGGGAACUGAAACAUCUAAGUACCCCGAGGAAAAGAAAUCAACCGAGAUUCCCUUAGUAGUGGCGAGCGAACGGG
rnacentral:rRNA from 1 species